AGCAGCCGCGGUAAUUCCAGCUCCAAUAGCGUAUAUUAAAGUUGUUGCAGUUAAAAAGCUCGUAGUUGAAUUUCGGGAUUGGCGCAUCGGUCGUGCCUCACGGGGUAUGAACUGGUGCAGUCAAUUUCUCACCUUCUGGAGAACCGCGAUGUCCUUAAUUGGAUGCCGCGGGAACCCAGGACCUUUACUUAGAAAAAUUAGAGUAGUUUAAAGCAGGCUAUUUUUGCUUGAAUACAUUAGCAUGGAAUAAUAAAAUAGGACGGCAUGGUUCUAUUUUGUUGGUUUCUAGGACCACCGUAAUGAUUAAUAGGGAUAGUUGGGGGCAUUAGUAUUCAAUUGUCAGAGGUGAAAUUCUUGGAUUUAUUGAAGACUAACUACUGCGAAAGCAUUUGCCAAGGAUGUUUUCAUUAAUCAAGAACGAAGUUAGGGAUCGAAGACGAUCAGAUACCGUGUAGUCUUAACCAUAAACUAUGCCGACUAGGAAUCAGACGAUGUUAAUUUUUAAUGUACUCGUUUGGCU
rnacentral:rRNA from 1 species